rnacentral:rRNA from 1 species
GACGAACGCUGGCGGCGUGCCUAAUACAUGCAAGUAGAACGCUGACUACUUUAGCUUGCUAGAGUAGAAGGAGUUGCGAACGGGUGAGUAACGCGUAAUCAACCUGCCCUUCAGAGGGGGACAACAGUUGGAAACGACUGCUAAUACCGCAUACGAUCCAAUCUCGGCAUCGAGAAUGGAUGAAAGGUGGCCUCUAUUUAUAAGCUAUCACUGAAGGAGGGGAUUGCGUCUGAUUAGCUAGUUGGAGGGGUAACGGCCCACCAAGGCGAUGAUCAGUAGCCGGUCUGAGAGGAUGAACGGCCACAUUGGGACUGAGACACGGCCCAG